CCUAGAACGAAAUCAGAGUAUUAACAAUAAAAUAAGAUGUUAAUGUGAAAUCAGAGUAUUAACAAUAAAAUAAAAUGUUGAUGUGAAAUCAGAGUAUUAACAAUAAAAUAAAAUGUUGAUGUGAAAUCAGAAUAAAAUGAAAUCUGAGUAUUAACAAAAAAUAAGAUGUUGAUGUGAAAUCAGAAUAAAAUAAAAUCAGAGUAUUAACAAUAAAAAAGGAUGUUGAUGUGAAAUCAGAAUAAAAUGAAAUCAGAAUAUUAACAAUAAAAUAAGAUAUUAAAUUGAAAUCAGAGUAUUAACAAUAAAAUAAGAUGUUCUUCAUUUGAAUGCAAUUGGUUGUCUUACUUGUAAGCCUAUAAAUGGUAUACCGAAAUC
rnacentral:lncRNA from 1 species